AGAUUUCUCUAUUCCUUUGUCUCAUUUGAAAACUAGCGCAAAUAUAUCGCGGGUUCAGCAUAAAGGUACUUCUAAAUGUAUGUUCUAUGCUUGCCAAAGGCAUUGCGAAGACUGGCAAAAUCAUUGGUACUUCAACUGGUUCUACGGUACAUGCUUUAUGAGCGACAGUAGCCAUUGUGGAGUCGUCUCUGUGUGUGCUGAGGCAAUGACUACGACGCCAGGUACGGAAACACAAGUAUUCAU
rnacentral:lncRNA from 1 species